UUAACUCAAAUUUGUAUGGAGUUGGAACGUUUGCCGCUAGGGGCGCUGUUCCAAUUGCAUACAAAUUUGAGUUA
rnacentral:pre_miRNA from 1 species